UAACAUUCAGCAUCACGAGUAGUUACUCCAGUUUAUUUUGCUCAGAUAAAAACAGAACUAUAAAACGUUUGGUACAUUUUAUUUAGCAACAUACAAGAAAGUAUAUAAACUGCCACGUAUUAAACUUGCCACAGAACAGCUGGAGAAUCACCCCACUCCCCUCCCCCUAAAAUUAUGUGUCCAAAGCGGUACUUUUCUGUGGAAAAUGUGUACCAGAGAGCUUGCAGUACACCAGUUUAUGUUGCUGCUUCUUGAUAAUUUGAGUGGUCUAAGAGAGUCACAAAGUGCUCCAAGUUUUAGUUUGUAGUAACUGCAACUUCCUAAACACAUUAUUGUGAUUUCCCCAACGUGUGUGUUCCACUUAAAUGCACAGCACCCAAAAUAGAUGGAUAUCACAUAUCUAUAUAGUCAGGAUUCAAGUCCAUUCAAGACAACUCUAUCAACGGGUCACAAAUUCGUAUGUAUGAUGGACAAGAUAAAAUACACAGAAUAAGCUAAACAUGCAGAGCAUCCCUUUCAAUGUUAGGAGUCCAUUCGGUGGGGUCCCCCCACUAUACUUAAGCCCAAUGGAGAAUAAUGUUAACAUCACUGACUAACCUGAAUCACAAUUUUAAUUAAUGAAUGCAAAUAUAGUUUCCUUCAUGCCAGCACAUCAACUCUCCUCUCAGUCACUACCAGCCUUAAAGUGUGUUUUUGUAAGCCUUUAAGGCAUGUAAAAUAAUAUAUGCUUAGUGUAAAAGUGCCACGAUUUACUUCUACCAGAAAAAUAUCUCUUCACCCUCAUUUGUUGUUCCCUUCCUUUUUACUCUCCCCCCAUAUCCGUCUGUCACUGGAGCAGACCUAAAUAAUCCUGUUACUGAAAGAAUUUUGGUCACUUCCAUGCUGCAUUCAUUUGCAGCCCCUUUUUCAUCCUGAGACUAAAAUCUUUAGGAAACAAGUGCAGGAAGAUGAAAAAAAAGCCAACAGAAUUUAGGGCUCUAAUGGCAAAUACAGAGAACUUCACCUUUAUAUCAAAGUGGCUAUAAAUUCACUCACCCAGAUCAUGUCUGGCUGAUGAUAAUUCCUUUCAGAGACUGAUCAGUUUCAGUUUUCUUCACUCAUUUUAUCCUUAUGGAUCAUAAGAUCUUUUGCAGUAAUAAUCCUUUCCAAAGGAUUCCAAAGAUAAGGCUGAAGGUGUAUUAAGGAAAAAAAAUCUAAUCAAUAACUUUUUACAAAAUAAUCCUCACAGCCCCUCAGUGAGAGUAAAUCAGUGACACAGGAAAAACUGCAGAUAGUUCCUGCCUUUUGACCUUAUAAUCAAUUAAUUAGACCAGGCUGCCUCCAAAGUGUUGUUUUUCUUAAUAAAACAGUCACUUAGAUGGCAGUAGACUUUUUUUCUAAAAACCCCAGGGUCUUCUCUAAGU